rnacentral:misc_RNA from 1 species
GAUGAAGAACGCAGUGAAAUGCGAUAAGUAAUGUGAAUUGCAGAAUUCAGUGAAUCAUCGAAUCUUUGAACGCACAUUGCGCCCGCCAGUAUUCUGGCGGGCAUGCCUGUUCGAGCGUCAUUACAACCCUCAGGCCCCCGGGCCUGGCGUUGGGGAUCGGCGGAGCCCCCCGUGGGCACACGCCGUCCCCCAAAUACAGUGGCGGUCCCGCCGCAGCUUCCAUCGCGUAGUAGCUAACACCUCGCGACUGGAGAGCGGCGCGGCCACGCCGUAAAACACCCAACUCUUCUGAAGUUGACCUCGAAUCAGGUAGGAAUACCCGCUGAACUUAAGCAUAUCAAUAAGCGGAGGA